GAAAUAUCACGAUUGAAAAAUUAGAUUGACCGAAAAUAGAGAGUAAAAGAGAGGAAUCGUCAAAAGACAGAAAACGCAGAGAAAAGAGCAUACCAACGUUAGAUUUUUACUUUAGAGAGAGAAAACUGAAUUUUGGAAAUAAAAAAGAUAAAAAUAAAUUUGAUAACUCUCCAAUAUCCCAACUCUCCACUAUUCUCUCAUCCUCAACCACCCACUUCAUAAUUCUAUCUCAAUCCAAACACUCUCAGACAAUCAAAACAAAAAUAACAUCCACGCUCGCACAAAGAUUCGAACACAGGACCUCCAACAUACCAACUCCCUUACCACUCGAACCAGCGGGCUCAUUCUGAUAUAAAUUAACAGACAUUUUAAUAUAAGCCCACUGACCAAAUAUAAGGCUUAGAUCCCAAAAAUAGCAAAAUUUCAAAAAGGUUAGGCUUGAACCCAAGACCUCUUAAACACUCCUAGAACACUUAACCACUGAAGCAGAUGCACACUUGUGUUAAAUAUUUACAGAAACAUAAAUACAAUUUUCAAUGCGUUACAACUCUACCCCUAAAAGAAAAUUCUACCUCAAAAUUUACCUGAUCAGAACAGAUGAGGAUACUGGUGACACAUCGAGUCUUCAGGUUCCCAUGUGGCCUCCUCGAACCAUGAUUUCGCCACAAAACCUUCACUAAAGGGACAAACUUCCUCCUUAAAACCUUAAUGUCAUGAUCCAGGAUCUAAACCGACUCCUUCUCAAAGGUCAAAUCCAGCCUAACAUCGAUCUCCUCAAGAGAAACAAAGUAAGAUGGAUCAAACUGAUACCACCUCAACAUCAAAAAGUGAAAUACUUCACGGAUACGGUCUAACUCUAGAGGUAGCUCCAACUGAUAAGCAACCGGUCUCACACCCUUCAAAAUUAGAUACGGCCCAAUGAACCUAGGGUUCAGCUUGCCCUUACGACCAAAUCUCAACACCUUCUUCCAUAGAGAAACUUUGAGGAACAUGAAGUCCCCUACAGAGUACUCAAUAUCAUGCCUCUUCCGACUGUAUAAGAUUUCUGUCUAUCUGAAGCGUUUUCAGACGAUCCUGAAUCAGUCUAACCUUAUCCUCGGUCUCAGAAACCAACUCAGAAUCCAAAACUCGACGCUCACCCAACUCAGUCCAAGGUAGCAGAGUACGACACUUACGACCAUAUAAAGCCUUGUAAGGCGCCAUCUGGAAGCUAGCCUGGGAGCUAUUAUUAUAGGCGAACUCAACUAGCGGCAGAUAAUCCUCACAACUCCCUCGAAAAUCAAUCACGCAACUCCGAAACAUAUCCUUCAGGAUUUGAAUCACCCUCUCAAACUAAUCAUCGAUUUAAGGAUGGAACACAGUACUGAAGUCCAAUCUCGAACCCAGAGCCUCGUGUAGUUUCUUCCAGAACCGAGAAGUGAAGCGAGGAUCUCUAUUGAAAAUGGUCGAAAUUGGCACCCCAUGUAGUCUUACAAUAUCAGAGAUGUAGAGCUUCACUAACUUCUGCAGAGAAUAAUCUAUCCGAACCUGAAUGAAGUGAGCAAACUUGAUCAAUCGAUCCACGAUGACCCAAAAAGAAUCCUUCUUAGUGGGUGUCAAUGGCAACCUACUAACAAAGUCCAUCGUUACUCGUUCUCAUUUCCAUAAGUGAAUCUUAACUGGCUGCAACAAUCCCGAAGGCAACUAGUGCUCAGUCUUAACCUGCUGGCACAUCAGACAUCGAGACACAAAAUUCGUAACCUCAUGCUUCAAUCUAGACUACCAGUACAACACACAAAAAUCACGAUACAUCUUAUUACCACCGAGAUGCAUAACAUAAGGGCUACUAUGCGCCUCCCUCAGAAUCAAUUGCCACAAAGAAAAAUCAUUUAGCACACAAAUCUGACCUCGAAAACAUAGCACAUCAUUAUUAUUCAGCCAAAAAUCUGAAGUACUGCCACUCUCAAUCUGACAAAACCGCGAACCUAAAGACUCAUCCCCUAACUGCUUAUCCCGAAUCUGAUCAAUCCAAUUCGGCUUUACUUGCAACUAGGCUAACAGACUCCCAUCAUCAAACAGACUAAGGCGAGCAAACAUCACUCUCAAAUCAGACAUUACUCUUCGACUGAGAGCAUCGGCCACCACAUUGGCCUUACUGGGAUGGUACUCUAUAGUGCAGUCAUAAUCUUUGAGCAGUUUAAUCCAACGGUGCUGCCUAAGGUUCAACUCCUUCUGAGUAAAGAGAUACUUGAUGAUCUUGUGAUCAGUAGAGAUAAUACACCUCUCACUAUACAGAUAGUGCCUCCAGAUUUUUAACGCAAAGACUACAGCAGCCAAUUCGAGAUCAUGCAUCGUAUAGUUCCUUUAAGACAGGACGCAUAAGCUGUAACUUUACCAUCUUGCAUCAGUACAGAUCCCAAAUCGAUGUGCUAUGCAUCACUGUAGACCAUAAACUCCUUACGAGAUUCAGGCUCUAUUAAAACAGGAGCCUGAGUUAAGAUAGACUUGAUCUUCUCAAAGCUCGAUUGUUGUGCAUUAAUCUAGACAAACGAAACACGCUUACACAGAAGCUUAGUCAAUGGAGCCACAAUCAGAGAGAACCCUUCAACAAAUCGUUGGUAAUAACUCGCCAAACCCAGAAAGCUACGGAUCUCAGAUGCAUUCUUAGACUGUUUCCAACCAAGCACAGCCUCAAUCUUUCGAGGAUUAACUCGAAUCCCCUCAGUAGAAACCAUGUGCCCCAGAAAAGUCACUUCACGUAACCAGAACUCACACUUACUUAACUUAGCAUAAAGCUACUUCUCACGAAGAAUCUGAAGCACUACUCUAAAAUGCUCAUCAUGUUCAUCCUCGGUCUUAGAGUAAAUUAGAAUAUAGUCGAUGAAGACCACGACGAACUGAUCCAGAUACGGCUGAAACAUUCGGUUCAUUAAAUCCAUGACUGCAGCCAGAGAAUUCGUCAAACCAAAAGGCAUAACUAGGAACUCGUAGUGUCCAUACCGAGUCUUAAAUGCAGUCUUAUGCAUGUCAGCCUCCUUAACCCUCAAGUGAUGAUACCCAGAUCGAAGAUCAAUCUUAAAAAACAUUGAAGCCCCUCAGAACUGAUCAAACAGGUCGUCGAUCCUCGAAAGUGGAUACUUAUUCUUCACUGUCAACUUGUUCAGCUACCGAUAAUCAAUGCACAUCCUCAUGGUACCAUCCUUUUUCUUGACAAAUAAAACUGGUGCUCUCCACAGAGACACAUUAGAAUGGAUGAAACCCCGAUCUAGAAGCUUUUAUAGUUGAGCCUUAAGCUCCAUAAGCUCCUUCAGUGCCAUACUGUAUAGAGCGAUGACACCAGAGCUGUACCCAGUAGAAGCUCAAUUCCAAACUUCACUUCUAUAUUCGGAGGUAAACCCGAUAACUCCUCAAGGAAGACAUCUAGAAAAUUCCUCACAGUUUUGAUAUCCCCAAUAAAAGAGUCCCUAGAAUCAGAAACACUGAUGUAAACCAAGUACACCUCACACCCUUUCCGAACUAGUUUCUUAGCCACAAGAGAGAAGAUCACAUUGGACAAAUAAUCUCGACACUCGUUGAUUAUGACUACUUCCCUAUCGUCCUCAGUUCUCAAAACGACCCUCUUAGUCGUGCAGUCCAAACUAACUCAAUGCUUGACCAACCAAUCUAUGCUUAGAAUUAAGUCGAACUCUUCAAACAGAAGCUCUAUCAGAUUUGCCAGAAAAAUAGUACCUUGCACCUCUAACAAAACAUCCUUAUAGAGUUUACUAACCUGAAUAAACUGCCCCAAUGAGCUUAGUACAAUGAUCUCACUAGAAGUGCUCUCACAGUAACCCCCAAGUUUUCAGAUACAGUGCUAGCUACAUAGGAGUGUAUAGAACCUAUGUCGAUAAGAGCAGUAUAAAGUACAUCAGAAAUUAAGAACAUACUGGUGAUAACAUCAGGAGCAUCUCUACCCUCUCGGCAUCAAGUAGCAUAGAAAAGUGCAGGCUGCCUCGCCUCUGUCUGAUUAGCAUAUCUUCCCAGUGCUCUCUGCCCAUGACCCAAACCUUUACCACCCCUAAUUGAACCACGACCCCUAGGAGGCUGCUGAACUGCUCUCUAAGGCUGCACAAAACCCAGAGCCGAAACUUGCAUCCGAUCUACUCGCUGUGGACAGUCUCUAAUGUGGUGCUCUAAAGAUUUACACCUCAAACAGGCCCAAAUCCUCCUCCAACACUCUCCCAGAUGGCACCUACCAUAAUAAAGCCCCCACUCUAACUGACCCAUCAAAUCUGACCUUUUUCUUAGGCCUCAAAAUAGAACUAGAGGGCUCUGAAUCCUUCUUAUUUUUACCCCUCUCUCGAUCCCUAUUCUGGCGCUCUAUGCACUUAACUUCCUUCGCGAUCUUCGUAUUCUCCACUAGAACCGUAAACUCUCACUCCCUCUGUAGAGCUAUUAGCACCCUCAAAUUAUCCCUGAAGCCAUCCUCAAAUUAGAUGCACCUUUCAUACUCAGACACCACCAUACCUCGAGCGUAGCAGCUCAAUCUCAUAAAUUCGGCCUCAUACUCGGCCACAGAUCUAUCACCUUGCGUGAGAUUCAUGAACUCACUCCUACGAGCAUCAACAUAGAUCGCCCAUGUACUUACUCUAGAAGGUGGUCUUAAAGAAGUCCCAAGUUAGACGAUCAAGCUGAGUACCCUCCUCAACCAUUAACCACUACUGGUAUACCUUGUCAUGAAGCAAGGAGACUGAACCCUUAAAUUUCUAUUCAGGAAUGUAGUCCAAAUCAUUCAUAAUCCUUAUGGUGGCCUCCAAUCAAUACUCGGCCACACUAGGGGUGACUCCAGUGACACCCCUAAAUAGCUCAACACCAUUGGACCGGAGUCAUUUAGUAACCGACCCUCGACCCCAACUUUAGAAUGCGGUCUAGUGACCCUCUCCAAUAUCCUCAACAUGGCCUGGGAUAGUGCGUCAUCCCCAUCUAAGUUAUUUUGAGACUUAGUCUCAGUAGUAGGCAAAACUGGUGUCUCACUUGUAUCCAAAUUCAACAUACUGCCCAGAGAGAAAGACUCAGCUCGAGCCCCCUACGGCCUCUACCACGGCCUUAAAUACCACCUUCGCGGGUUCCAUAAGUGCUCAUCGUAAAUUUGAGUUUUAAUCUACAUUAAAAAUUUUAUGCAUCAGUUUUAGUAUUUAUUAACAGAUGUUUUAUGCAUAAAUUAUCAGAAGUUCAGUUUUGUUUCCAAAAGUUUCAAUCUCUAACUUUUUAGUUCAGUUUCAGAGAGUAUCAACUAUAGUAUUUUUACAGUUUUCUAUCUAAGUUUCAGAAAUAGUUACAGGAUCGGCGUCGGAGACUUGGUGUACCACAUGCUUUCUCAAAUUAUUUAGAUAUUAGAAAACCAAUUCUUUUUAAAAUCAAAAUUUUGGAACCUAAAAUUUAUAGCUGGCUUUUACAACCUAGCUUUGAUACCACUAAAUGUAACACCCCAAACCCAGCCUAGACGUUAUGGCUGAAUCUGAUGACAUCACAAGGGAUGGGUUUUGAAAACCGUGUUGACUUGGUAAACCACCAUUAUUUAAAUUUUACUUAAUUCUCAAUUUAGUUAGUUUCUUUACCAAACUUAUUACAGCGGAAGCCUUAAUCGUUAUAGUUUGAAAGCACAGUCGAGUUUUUAGGAAAAUCAUUGUUUACAUAAAAACCUUCGUUUUAAUAAAUCAAUUUUACCAAAGAAAUCAAAUUAAACAAACAAUCCAAAAAUAAAUAGUUAAAAACAAAAUAGUCUAGAGAGUCCCCAAAAUUUACAACUCUCAAUAAGUCCCAAAAUUCAAAAUAGACCAAAAGUACUAAGUUUAACUGUUUUACGAUAUGGUGGUCACCGUUGUGUCUCCAUCGCACCGAUCUGUCUAAAUCUAUGGAUUACUUAACAGAACAGAUAAACGGAUGUGAGUUCACGUAAACUCAGUGUGUAACCCAGCAGAAUUAGACAAGCAAACAUACAGAAAUAUUUCAGACAAUCAGAAAUAGAAUCGGGCUUAUACCCAUCUCAGAUAUAGUUACAGAGACAGAUGUACAGAUCAGAUAUCAAAUUCAGAUAUGCAAAGUCCUACCUCUAUCCUCUACAAACCAACUCCGACCAUCCCAUCACACUGUGUGGGGUUAAAAACACCCACCCAUCCCUACACACCAUAUUGUGUCGUUACGACACAUAUCAGAUAUAGUACAGCCAAGCUGCCAGAAUAUAGGCUAGGAUCACCAUACUGAACACUUCCUCCACAUAUAUAUAAAACCCACCCCAAAACAGAUGCAGAUAUCAGAUAAAGAUUUAUCAGACUAAACAUGCUAACAUGCUUUAUACAAAUAACAAAUACACAUAUAUCAAUAUAAUCAGGCAUACAUUAGUAUCCUAAUCAGAUUAGUCUAACAGAAUUUCAUAGCAUACAGAGAGAGGUUUAAUUAGCCCUUACUGACCCUACGGUAGGUCCACAGCCGAAUGGAACGACCCACACGACCCUAGAGAAUAUUUCAGAAUUAUGGGCUUACACGUCCAUGUGGCUUACUUGUAUCGGACCACAUGCCCAUAUUAGCCUUGCUUGUAUGGUCUACACGGCCUGGCCCAAAAGCUUCACGCCCAACUUGACUUGGCCCGUGUAGCCAUUCGGCUACACUCAAGCAACCACACGGUCGUGUGCUACGUACGACCAUGCCUUCAUAGACCACAUACCCAUGCCUCGCACACGACCAUCCAUAUGGGCGACCACAAACCCGUGUGGUGAUGACAAAGUAAUUUUUCAGAUUUUGUCGAAGCUUCAUUUUCUGCAUUUCGGGUACACACUUGGUAUCAAUUUGAUGCAAAAACUAUCUCGAGCCUUCCAAAACCUAAAAUCAAAGUACUGAACACCUUUAAUUAGCAAAUUGCAUUCACAAAAAUGCUAAAUCUAACAAUGCGCGCACACACUUACUGUUAACUAAAACGACCGUACGCACAAUUCAAUCCGUUGAAACGAAAUCCACAGCAACAUCGCCUUUUGCAACGCAACCUUACAAAAAUUAAAACCCCUAAUAAGAACCUACACACUAACAAACAAGAAAUCUAACAAAGACACUUAACAAAACUUACCAAUCCCCAAGAACACCAAAAGUCGAAAUAUCACGAUUGAAAAUUAGAUUAACUGAAAAUAAAGAGUAAAAGAGAGGAAUCGUCAAAAGACAGAAAACGCAGAGAAUAGAGUAUACCAACGGUAGAUUUUUUCUUUAAAGAGAGAAAACUGAAUUUUGGAAAAACAAAAGAUAAAAAUAAAUUUGAUAACUCCCUAGUAUCCCAACUCCCCACUAUUCACUCAUCUCCAACCACCCACUUCAGAAUUCUAUCUCAAUCCAAACACUCUCAGACAAUCGAAACAAAAAUAACAUCCACGCUCAUACAAAGAUUCGAACACAGAACCUCCAACACACCAACUCCCUUACCACUCGAACUAGCAAGCUCAUUUUGAUAUGAAUUAACAAACAUUUUAAUAUAAACCCACUGACCAAAGAUAAGGCUUAGAUCCCAAAAAUAACAAAAUUUGGCAAAGGUUAGGCUUGAACCUAAGACCUCUCAAACACUCUCAAAACACUUAACCACUAAUGCAGAUGCACACUUUUGUUAAAUAUUUACAGAAACAUAAAUAAAUUUUUCAGGGCAUUACAAUUCCAAAGAACUUAUAAAGAAGAUGAAGUCACACAAUUCAUAAUUAUAGUUAC
rnacentral:lncRNA from 1 species